UACACAUGCAAGUCGAGCGGAUGAAGAGAGCUUGCUCUCUGAUUCAGCGGCGGACGGGUGAGUAAUGCCUAGGAAUCUGCCUGGUAGUGGGGGACAACGUCUCGAAAGGGACGCUAAUACCGCAUACGUCCUACGGGAGAAAGCAGGGGACCUUCGGGCCUUGCGCUAUCAGAUGAGCCUAGGUCGGAUUAGCUAGUUGGUGAGGUAAUGGCUCACCAAGGCGACGAUCCGUAACUGGUCUGAGAGGAUGAUCAGUCACACUGGAACUGAGACACGGUCCAGACUCCUACGGGAGGCAGCAGUGGGGAAUAUUGGACAAUGGGCGAAAGCCUGAUCCAGCCAUGCCGCGUGUGUGAAGAAGGUCUUCGGAUUGUAAAGCACUUUAAGUUGGGAGGAAGGGCAGUAACUUAAUACGUUGCUGUUUUGACGUUACCGACAGAAUAAGCACCGGCUAACUCUGUGCCAGCAGCCGCGGUAAUACAGAGGGUGCAAGCGUUAAUCGGAAUUACUGGGCGUAAAGCGCGCGUAGGUGGUUUGUUAAGUUGGAUGUGAAAGCCCCGGGCUC
rnacentral:rRNA from 1 species